rnacentral:rRNA from 1 species
UACAGAGGUCUCAAGCGUUGUUCGGAUUCAUUGGGCGUAAAGGGUGCGUAGGCGGCGCGGUAAGUCGGGUGUGAAAUCUCGGAGCUUAACUCCGAAACUGCAUUUGAUACUGCCGUGCUUGAGGACUGGAGAGGAGACUGGAAUUUACGGUGUAGCGGUGAAAUGCGUAGAUAUCGUAAGGAAGACCAGUGGCGAAGGCGGGUCUCUGGACAGUUCCUGACGCUGAGGAGCGAAAGCGUGGGGAGCAAACAGG